ACGAAUGCUGGCGGCGUGCCUAAUACAUGCAAGUCGAGCGGAAUGAUGAAGAAGCUUGCUUCUUCUGAUUUUAGCGGCGGACGGGUGAGUAACACGUGGGCAACCUACCUUGUAGAUUGGGAUAACUCCGGGAAACCGGGGCUAAUACCGAAUAAUCCAUUUUGCUUCAUGGCGAGAUGUUAAAAGGCGGCUUCGGCUGUCACUACGAGAUGGGCCCGCGGCGCAUUAGCUAGUUGGUAGGGUAAUGGCCUACCAAGGCGACGAUGCGUAGCCGACCUGAGAGGGUGAUCGGCCACACUGGGACUGAGACACGGCCCAGACUCCUACGGGAGGCAGCAGUAGGGAAUCUUCCACAAUGGACGAAAGUCUGAUGGAGCAACGCCGCGUGAGUGAAGAAGGUUUUCGGAUCGUAAAACUCUGUUGUAAGGGAAGAACACGUACGAGAGUAACUGCUCGUACCUUGACGGUACCUUAUUAGAAAGCCACGGCUAACUACGUG
rnacentral:rRNA from 1 species